GAUGAACGCUGGCGGCGUGCCUAAUACAUGCAAGUCGAGCGAACAGACGAGGAGCUUGCUCCUCUGACGUUAGCGGCGGACGGGUGAGUAACACGUGGAUAACCUACCUAUAAGACUGGGAUAACUUCGGGAAACCGGAGCUAAUACCGGAUAAUAUAUUGAACCGCAUGGUUCAAUAGUGAAAGACGGUUUUGCUGUCACUUAUAGAUGGAUCCGCGCCGCAUUGGCUAGUUGGUAAGGUAACGGCUUACCAAGGCGACGAUGCGUAGCCGACCUGAGAGGGUGAUCGGCCACACUGGAACUGAGACGCGGUCCAGACUCCUACGGGAGGCAGCAGUAGGGAAUCUUCCGCAAUGGGCGAAAGCCUGACGGAGCAACGCCGCGUGAGUGAUGAAGGUCUUCGGAUCGUAAAACUCUGUUAUUAGGGAAGAACAAAUGUGUAAGUAACUAUGCACGUCUUGACGGUACCUAAUCAGAAAGCCACGGCUAACUACGUG
rnacentral:rRNA from 1 species